GGUGAAUGUGACAAUGCGAGAAAAGGCAAGUGUGACAGGAUUAGGGGAGUUAAUGUGAGUUUGGCAGAGCGAGGUGAGGCAAGUGCAGCAUGGUUGGAGGGGCGAGUGUGACAGGAUCAGGAGGGGUUAAUGUGGCAGGUGUGAAAGGUGACAGUGUGUGCGGGGGUAGUGACAGUGUCUAGAGGGAGCUGACACUGCAUGGCUAUGGUGACUGACUGUGUGUGGG